rnacentral:rRNA from 1 species
GAUGAACGCUAGCGGGAGGCCUAACACAUGCAAGCCGAGCGGUAGAGUUUCUUCGGAAACUUGAGAGCGGCGCACGGGUGCGUAACACGUGUGCAACCUACCUUUAUCUGGGGGAUAGCCUUUCGAAAGGAAGAUUAAUACCCCAUAAUAUAAUGAUUGGCAUCAAUUAUUAUUGAAAACUCCGGUGGAUAGAGAUGGGCACGCGCAAGAUUAGAUAGUUGGUGAGGUAACGGCUCACCAAGUCAAUGAUCUUUAGGGGUCCUGAGAGGGAGAUCCCCCACACUGGUACUGAGACACGGACCAGACUCCUACGGGAGGCAGCAGUGAGGAAUAUUGGACAAUGGGUGAGAGCCUGAUCCAGCCAUCCCGCGUGAAGGAUGACGGUCCUAUGGAUUGUAAACUUCUUUUAUACAGGGAUAAACCUACCCUCGUGAGGGUAGCUGAAGGUACUGUACGAAUAAGCACCGGCUAACUCCGUG